AUAUCAAUAAGCGGAGGAAGAGAAACCAACAAGGAUUGCCUCAGUAACGGCGAGUGAAGCGGCAACAGCUCAAAUUUGAAAUCUGGCUCUUUCAGAGUCCGAGUUGUAAUUUGCAGAGGAUGCUUCGGCUUUGGCGUCAUCCAAAGUUCCUUGGAACAGGAUGUCAUAGAGGGUGAGAGCCCCGUGUCCGGGUGGAUGCCUUUGCCAUGUGAAGCUCCUUCGACGAGUCGAGUUGUUUGGGAAUGCAGCUCAAAACGGGAGGUAAAUUUCUUCCAAAGCUAAAUACCGG
rnacentral:rRNA from 1 species